AUUUGAUGAUAUGGACAACUUGCAUACAACUCCUUAAAUUGCUCCCAAUACUCAUACAAACUCUCUCCAUUGUACUACUGGAUGCCACAAAUUUCUUUUCUUAUAUU